GAUGAACGCUGGCGGCGUGCCUAAUACAUGCAAGUCGAGCGAACAGACUAGUAGCUUGCUCCUCUGACGUUAGCGGCGGACGGGUGAGUAACACGUGGAUAACCUACCUAUAAGACUUGGAUAACUUCGGGAAACCGGAGCUAAUACCGGAUAAUAUAUUGAACCGCAUGGUUCAAUAGUGAAAGACGGUUUUGCUGUCACUUAUAGAUUGAUCCGCGCCGCAUUAGCUAGUUGGUAAGGUAACGGCUUACCAAGGCAACGAUGCGUAGCCGACCUGAGAGGGUGAUAGGCCACACUGGAACUGAGACACGGUCCAGACUCCUAAGGGAGGCAGCAGUAGGGAAUGUUCCGCAAUGGGCGAAAGCAUGACGGAGCAACGCCGCGUGAGUGAUGAAGGUGUUCGGAUCGUAAAACUCUGUUAUGAGGGAAGAACAAAUGUGUAAGUAACUAUGCACGUCUUGACGGUACCUAAUCAGAAAGCCACGGCUAACUACGUG
rnacentral:rRNA from 1 species